UUCGGAUUGCAGGCUGAAACCCGCCUGUAUGAAGUUGGAAUCGCUAGUAAUCGCGGAUCAGCAUGCCGCGGUGAAUACCGGUUCCCGGGCCUUGUACACACCGCCCGUCACACCAUGAGAGUCGGAACACCCGAAGUCCGUAGCCUAACCGCGAAGGGGGCGCGGCCGAAGGUGGGUUCGAUAAUUGGGGUGAAGUCGUAACAAGGUAAC
rnacentral:rRNA from 1 species